CAUAAAAUGUCUGUUUUUUAAAAAAAAAAAGUUUGUAAAUAAUUCUUGAGUGCUAGCCUAACUGUAAUUUCAAACUCUUGUGUAAAACCUACUGAUUUACAUGUACUGUUACUGGGUCUGACAGUGUACAGUAAGAAUGAAACGGGAUUAUGUCGUUGCGUGUAGAAUUGAAACAGGAUUCAUUUCAGCUGCUCCCUGCAAAAUGCACCACCCUGUCCGAAUAAUAAUGUUUUUCCUUCUCAAGUGUAAGUGAUGAAACGCUGGUUCCUUUUACAGGGUUCUAGACACACAAAAAAACAAAAACAAAACAGUUUUUACCCUUCAAGGACAGUGGAAGUGGCAAUCACCCUGGAAUAAGCUGGUGAGCGACCAAAUACAUGAGUCAAGAGGAAACUUAAGAAGCUUAACAGCCUGUCCCACAGCUUCUUAAGGAAAACCUGAACAAGCUGCUGACAAAGUUCAACUCCCUUUGUGUGCUGCAUCAUCCCAUCGAAACUAACUCCAGGGAACUUGAUUUCAGACUGUAGCAGAGAGAGCGGUUCUGACGCUGGUGCUCAUGGUGAUACUGUGGAAUAGCCGUGCUUGAAACGCAGAGAAGUGCUGGCUGGAGGGCACAGAGACAGAGAAUCCCGCGGUCAAGAGGAGCGAGCCAGAGGGGAAGGAAGUCAGAUUGAGAAGACCCGUCUCUUCAGCUCCAGAAUGAAAGAGCUCAAAGUAUGUGAGGCAGCUUCCACACUCACAUUGAAGAGACACCAUUAUUAAUUACGGUAAAAAGUUCAAGUCCAGUCAGCAAUCACUGUAAACAGGGUUGACUGUUUAUUAAAUAAAAGGAAAACAAAUAUUCUUUAUCAGCUGGCUUCUUUUGCUCUGGCAUAAAAUACAGAAUCCAAGCACCCUAACAAAGAGCCAGUUAUGUAACAUUUGCAUAUUUAGGUUAUUUAUGAGUUACAGUAGGAUCACAGGACAUUGAAAUUGGGUUAAAUUAGUCAUCAAAAAAAUAAAAAAUAAAAACCACCCUUUUGAAUAUUGAUUCAUUACCAUUUAGUGUGACUUGUGAUUGGACUGAUCAUUCUCCUCUUUUCCUUCUGGUUUCAUCUUAAGAAUGAUAGGAAGUAUAUCUGGGCGUAUUCAUUAGCCCAGUGCUAGACAAAACUGGUAACAAGCUGACUGCUAUUUUAACAUAAUACUGUGGGCAAACAAAAUAAACAAAGUGUGGUUUG